GCGGGCCGUGAGAGCGGGAGCCCGGAGAUGGGCACUGAGACAAGGGCCCAGGCCCUACGGGGCGCAGCAGUCGCGAAAACUUUGCAAUACACGAAAGUGUGACAGGGCUAUCCCGAGUGCCAUCCGCUGAGGAAGGCUUUUACCCAGUCUAGAAAGCUGGGGGAAUAAGGAGAGGGCAAGUCUGGUGUCAGCCGCCGCGGUAAUACCAGCUCUCCGAGUGGUGUGGAUGUUUAUUGGGCCUAAGCAUCCGUAGCUGGCUAAGUUAGUCCCUUGUUAAAUCCACCGAAUUAAUCGUUGGAUUGCGGGGGAUACUGCUUAGCUAGGGGACGAGAGAGGCAGACGGUAUUUCCGGGGUAGGGGUGAAGUCCUAU
rnacentral:rRNA from 1 species